rnacentral:rRNA from 1 species
UACGAAGGGGGCUAGCGUUGCUCGGAAUCACUGGGCGUAAAGGGCGCGUAGGCGGACAUUCAAGUCGGGGGUGAAAGCCUGUGGCUCAACCACAGAAUUGCCUUCGAUACUGUUUGGCUUGAGUAUGGUAGAGGUUGGUGGAACUGCGAGUGUAGAGGUGAAAUUCGUAGAUAUUCGCAAGAACACCGGUGGCGAAGGCGGCCAACUGGACCAUUACUGACGCUGAGGCGCGAAAGCGUGGGGAGCAAACAGG